GCGGAUCAAGGGUACGCAGUACCAGCACAUCGAAUAUCAUAAGUAAUAAACGACAAACCUUACCCGGCUGGCCCCCGUGUCACAGUGGCAGUACAACGGAACAACUCAAACAAUUGUUUUCCUGUUUGUUUCAUCAACAACCAACAAACGGUUUCUUUCUGGGCCAAUGGAAGGGAGAGAGUACAGCAUAUUCUCAGUGAAGGAAGAAAGAAGAGAAAGACUAGUAAAGGACUAGAAACAGAACAAAG
rnacentral:lncRNA from 1 species